rnacentral:rRNA from 1 species
CCUACGGGAGGCAGCAGUGGGGAAUCUUGCACAAUGGAGGAAACUCUGAUGCAGCGAUGCCGCGUGAGUGAAGAAGGCCUUUGGGUUGUAAAGCUCUUUUGUAGGGGAAGAUAAUGACUGUACCCUAAGAAUAAGGUCCGGCUAACUUCGUGCCAGCAGCCGCGGUAAUACGAAGGGACCUAGCGUAGUUCGGAAUUACUGGGCGUAAAGCGCGCGUAGGCCGUUGAGUUAGUUAAUUGUGAAAUCCCAAAGCUUAACUUUGGAACUGCAAUUAAAACUGCUCGACUAGAGUUUGAUAGAGGAAAGCGGAAUACAUAGUGUAGAGGUGAAAUUCGUAGAUAUUAUGUAGAACACCAGUUGCGAAGGCGGCUUUCUGGAUCAACACUGACGCUGAGGCGCGAAAGUAUGGGUAGCAAAGAGGAUUAGAUACCCUCGUAGUCCAUACCAUAAACGAUGAUUGCUAGAUGUUGGAAAUUUAUUUUCAGUAUCGCAGCUACGCAUAUACAUACGCCGUCGGGUAGGUACGACCGACGAACGUUAAACGUAACAAUAGAAUAGACGGCGUGAGACGUGCCGACGACGACGACGAGGGAGUAGG